rnacentral:rRNA from 1 species
AUUGAACGCUGGCGGCAGGCCUAACACAUGCAAGUCGAACGAGUGGCGGACGGGUGAGUAAUGUAUGGGGAUCUGCCCGAUAGAGGGGGAUAACUACUGGAAACGGUAGCUAAUACCGCAUACUAUCGGAUGUACCCAUAUGGGAUUAGCUAGUAGGUGGGGUAAAGGCUCACCUAGGCGACGAUCCCUAGCUGGUCUGAGAGGAUGAUCAGCGACACUGGCACUGAGACACGGUCCAGACUCCUACGGGAGGCAGCAGGGGGGAAUAUUGCACAAUGGGCGCAAGCCUGAUGCAGCCAUGCCGCGUGUAUGAAGAAGGCCUUAGGGUUGUAAAGUACUUUCAGCGGGGAGGCGUUACCCGCAGAAGAAGCACCGGCUAACUCCGUGCCAGCCGCCGCGGUAAUUC